rnacentral:sRNA from 1 species
AGGCGGGUGUCCCCUUCCUCCCUCACCGCUCCAUGUGCGUCCCUCCCGAAGCUGCGCGCUCGGUAGAAGAGGACGACCUUCCCCUAUAGAGGAGGACCGUUCUUCGGUCAAGGGUAUACGAGUAGCUGUGCUCCCCUGCUAGAACCUCCAAACAAGCUCCUUUUCUUUUUUAAAUUCAAUUUUAUUUUUAGACAAGGGCUCACACUAAGUUGCCCAGGUUGACCUCAAAAUUGUGAGCCUUCUGUCU